GACGAACGCUGGCGGCGUGCUUAACACAUGCAAGUCGAACGGAAAUUCCCUGCUUUUGUGGGUUGCUCAAGUGACGAACGGGUGAGUAACACGUGAGUAACCUGCCCUUGACUUUGGGAUAACUUCAGGAAACUGGGGCUAAUACCUGCUAGGUGCUCCUGCUGCAUGGUUGGUGUUUGAAAGUUUCGUCGGUUUGGUAUGGACUCGCGGCUUCUCAGCUUGUUGGUGGGGUAGUGGCUUACCAAGGCCUUGCCGGGUAGCCGGCCUGUGAGGGUGACAGGCCACAGUGGGAUAGGGAUACGGCCAGGACGAAUACGGGAGGAAGCAGUGGGGAAUAGUGCACAAUGGGCGGAGGCAGGAUGCAGCAACGCCGGGUGCGGGAUGACGGCUUUCGGGUUGGAAACAGCGUGCGCCUGUGACGAAGCGUGGGGGAGGGAAAUGGGGAAAGAAGCACCGGUUAACUACGG
rnacentral:rRNA from 1 species